AUACUGCAGUCUGGCUCCACGGACUUGACACCAGCAGAGAAGCUGAAUCUCCAUCUCAAAACCAUCGAGGAACUGAGGGAAGCUAACUCUUCUACGGAGGACUCCUCAAGAUUGAGAUCAGCGGUUGGGCAACUUGGAGUGGCAGGAGGGGUGUCAACAGGAGACACAAACCGGAGUGUUUUGACGAUGCUGAUGACACACUCAGUCGCCAUGCAGGUGAACUGGAGGGGGACUUCAGGAAAAGAACCCUUUCAACAGAUGAGACUGAAGGAAGAUGUUUUCAAGUCAGCAAGGAUGAGCCCGGUAUGCUUGAAGGCGUGCGCGUCCGACUGCGUCCUAUGCUCCGACAGGGACGGUGGGAGGAGGGAAAGGACCCUGCUUGCCCAGCAGAGGAAGUGCGCUGCUGCUGCUGCAGCUGAGACAAACCCCCAACGAACUGUUUCUUACUUAUUCUUUAGCUCAUUGUCUAAUCUUCAUAUUCACUCAUUAAAAUCUUUAUUUCAUUGCAUUUAUUUAAUAAAAGAGAGAAUUAAAGUUGUUAAAAAUACACAUGAAUUUUGGUUUUCAACCUCGUAUAUUCAACUAUGUGAUAUACACAUUUCAGCACUAUUGAAUUUCAUAUCUCAACACAAUUCUAAGGUAUUUGUUAAAAAAUUUGUGUUGUUGUUAGAUAUACAGAGAAUCUCACCCGUGUGUCUUUUGA